CUCUCCAACCAUCUUUUCUCGCACAAAUAAACAUAUACUUACAUCCAGAUAUCUCACCGCUCUCCUAACAAUCUGUACUUUCUUCUUGCGCAUUUCGCUCGCCGCGGAUUGAUUUUUGGGCGCCAUGACUAUCGAUUUCGACCUCCACUUUUUUUUUACUUUGAAUGUAAACACACCUCUACUUGUAGAGGAAUUCCCUUAUUCUACUUAUACCCUUCAUUUCAAUCAUUUCCAAACAAUUCCAAUAUUUCAUUCUCCUUAGAUUAUCUAACAAAAAGUAUUGUCAUCAUGCUUUGAAUCUACAAUUUCGCGACUAAAUUCAACAAAAAAUCUAAUUCUCAUUGAAUACAAUCGAAUUCGUUUUGUAUCAUCGAAACACAUUUAACUCUUUCCAAUCUUUCCACUUAUAUUUAGUUCUGUUGUGCAUCUAUUUUUUGCCCAAUCUUCUACUGACACAAUUUGUAAUAUUCUCAAGCUGGCGAAUAGCGCCCACCUUCUUCCAAUUUUUUUUGGCUUAGUGACAAGUCAGCUGUACAUUCGAACAUAGUUUCGUAUUCCAUGGUAUACAUAUGUUGAUACUUCCUUAUCGAGCUUGGAGUAUAAACAAUACUUUUUGAAAGUAGCGUUUACAUUUUGAUCGGAUGAAUUAGGUAGUUGUUUUGGAUCGAUAUCAUUCGACAUGUAUAAUUGUGGUAAAGGGAACUCUUAUCUGUAAUUUAUAUUAAAUGUAUUGAGUUGAUCGUGAAGCAACAUGCCAGGUGGUUGGGCUGUAGAGUAGAGGGCGUGGAAAUUUAGGGUCAUGAGAAGUAUCGGGAAACUAUUAACUACAUUAUGAAUUUAAAGAUGAAUAGCCAUAGUCUUUCUUGUAGAGUGAAUGAUUAGAACGUGAAUGACCUUUUAAACUAACCUUUAAGUUAUGUGUGAAGAAAAAAUGGAGAAAUGAAGACUUAUGCAGAAUGAUAAGACCCAUAUGACACACUAACCUCACACCCUUCCUGUCCAAACCAACCCUCAUGUUUCCCUCAGUUCAUCAAAUGAUCGAAUUUUGGUCAAUAUCAAUGAGAAUGACAUGAUGAAUGAAGGGAGUGGCUCUGAAUGAUGAGUUGUUUCCUGAGAGGCUGCUAGAAACAUAAUAAAAUCAUCUUUCUUA